rnacentral:misc_RNA from 1 species
AGCAGCCGCGGUAAUUCCAGCUCCAAUAGCGUAUAUUAAAGUUGUUGCAGUUAAAAAGCUCGUAGUUGAAUUUCGGGAUCAGUUGAUCGGUCGUGCCUCGGUACGUACUGGUCAAAUUGAUUCCUACCUUCUGACGAACCACGAUGUCAUUAAUUUGGUGUCGUGGGAAAUCAGGACUGUUACUUUGAAAAAUUAGAGUGUUUAAAGCAGGCUCGCGCUUGAAUACAUUAGCAUGGAAUAAUGAAAUAGGACGUUUGAUUCUAUUUUGUUGGUUUCUAGGAUCGACGUAAUGAUUAAUAGGGAUAGUUGGGGGCAUUAGUAUUCAAUUGUCAGAGGUGAAAUUCUUGGAUUUAUUGAAGACUAACUACUGCGAAAGCAUUUGCCAAGGAUGUUUUCAUUAAUCAAAGAACGAAAGUUAGGGGAUCGAAGACGAUCAGAUACCGUCGUAGUCUUAACCAUAAACUAUGCCGACUAGGGAUCGGAUGAUGUUAAUUUUUAAUGACUCAUUCGGCGCCUUAC